UCUCGCUGCUCUACACGUCACAAUACAUGUCAUAUGCCUCCUUCCCUACAAGACCAAUCAGAGGCGGUUUGUAGGCGGAACAGAAUCACCUGGCCAAUUGGCGUUUUUCUGCCGUGGCUUCGUCAUUGACCACGCUAGAGGAGGAGAAACAAAGUCGGAAAGCAGAUUAAGACCGACGUUUGAAAGGUUUCCUCGGUUUAUCAGUAAAAAAACGUAAUUACCGAAGACGCCUGUAUACUUAAACAAGCGUUGGAGCUGCUUUUUUGUCUAACACGAGUGAGGCUGGACGCUGAACACAUCUGCAGCGCGACGAGAACUGCACAAGAAUUGGUGGAGACUGGGGCCACGGAUCCAUUGGCAUUGCUUGCAAUCAGAGAGACAUUGUCGAUGAUCUCAGAGCCAUCGUCCAUGAUCAGAGAGACAUUGUUCACGAUCGCAGGGAGUCUUCAUACGAUGAGGAAGUUCGUAGGGACAAGGACAGAGGCCUCCAGGAGGAGGAGACGACAGCAGCUCAGACCUGAAGUGGAUGAAAGAAAACAAAAGUGUUACAAAGCUGUUAAUUAGAUAAAAGAACUCAACCAUCUAACUGCUGAAAACACUUUGUUUUUUUUCUACCAUCUGUAGUCAUGGGCACAUUUUCCAAAGACUUUAUUAAACAUCUUUGAGAACAUUCAACGGCUUAUGAUACAACAAUUUAAUAAUUGUAUCACAAGCAGUUAAAUGAUCACAAAGAUGCUUAGUAGACAUGUUCAUCUUUGGAAAAUGUGCUCACAACUACAUUAACCCGAACAAGCUCUAUCAAGUGUUUCUUUGUGGUCAAACAUCUGUCAUUAUCUUCACUGAUUUGUUAAAUGUUGUCUGGAAUAAAAUCAUUAUGUCUUUCUAAACUUUUGAGUUGCA